AGACUACUCCCUCUGUUCCGAAUUACUUGUCGCAAGUAUGGAUAUAUCUAGAUGUAUUUUAGUUUUAGAUACAUCCAUUUUUGCGACAAGUAAUUUAGAACGGAGGAAAUACAUA
rnacentral:pre_miRNA from 1 species